UGGGGAAUCUUGGACAAUGGGCGCAAGCCUGAUCCAGCCAUGCCGCGUGAGUGAUGAAGGCCUUAGGGUUGUAAAGCUCUUUUGCCGGGGACGAUAAUGACGGUACCCGGAGAAUAAGUCCCGGCUAACUUCGUGCCAGCAGCCGCGGUAAUACGAAGGGGACUAGCGUUGUUCGGAAUCACUGGGCGUAAAGCGCACGUAGGCGGAUUUGUAAGUCAGGGGUGAAAUCCCGGGGCUCAACCUCGGAACUGCCUUUGAUACUGCGGAUCUCGAGUCCGAUAGAGGUGAGUGGAAUUCCUAGUGUAGAGGUGAAAUUCGUAGAUAUUAGGAAGAACACCGGUGGCGAAGGCGGCUCACUGGAUCGGUACUGACGCUGAGGUGCGAAAGCGUGGGGAGCAAACAGGAUUAGAUACCCCAGUAGUCCCUGAGCGGGCUGGCA
rnacentral:rRNA from 1 species